UACGUAGGGUGCAAGCGUUAAUCGGAAUUACUGGGCGUAAAGCGUGCGCAGGCGGUUUUGUAAGUCUGUCGUGAAAUCCCCGGGCUCAACCUGGGAAUGGCGAUGGAGACUGCAAGGCUAGAGUUUGGCAGAGGGGGGUAGAAUUCCACGUGUAGCAGUGAAAUGCGUAGAGAUGCGGAGGAACACCGAUGGCGAAGGCAGCCCCCUGGGUCGACACUGACGCUCAGGCACGAAAGCGUGGGGAGCAAACAGG
rnacentral:rRNA from 1 species